rnacentral:tRNA from 3 species
GGAUGUAGCGCAGUUGGUAGCGCGCCUGCUUUGGGAGCAGGAUGUCGCAGGUUCGAAUCCUGUCAUU